UUACACUAGACUGAUGAGUUGCGAACGGGUGAGUAACGCGUAGGUAACCUGCCUCAUAGCGGGGGAUAACUAUUGGAAACGAUAGCUAAUACCGCAUAAGAGUGAUUAACACAUGUUAGUUAUUUAAAAGGAGCAAUUGCUUCACUGUGAGAUGGACCUGCGUUGUAUUAGCUAGUUGGUGAGGUAAAGGCUCACCAAGGCGACGAUACAUAGCCGACCUGAGAGGGUGAUCGGCCACACUGGGACUGAGACACGGCCCAGACUCCUACGGGAGGCAGCAGUAGGGAAUCUUCGGCAAUGGACGGAAGUCUGACCGAGCAACGCCGCGUGAGUGAAGAAGGUUUUCGGAUCGUAAAGCUCUGUUGUUAGAGAAGAACGUUGGUAGGAGUGGAAAAUCUACCAAGUGACGGUAACUAACCAGAAAGGGACGGCUAACUACGUGCCAGCAGCCGCGGUAAUACGUAGGUCCCGAGCGUUGUCCGGAUUUAUUGGGCGUAAAGCGAGCGCAGGCGGUUCUUUAAGUCUGAAGUUAAAGGCAGUGGCUUAACCAUUGUACGCUUUGGAAACUGGAGGACUUGAGUGCAGAAGGGGAGAGUGGAAUUCCAUGUGUAGCGGUGAAAUGCGUAGAUAUAUGGAGGAACACCGGUGGCGAAAGCGGCUCUCUGGUCUGUAACUGACGCUGAGGCUCGAAAGCGUGGGGAGCAAACAGGAUUAGAUACCCUGGUAGUCCACGCCGUAAACGAUGAGUGCUAGGUGUUAGGCCCUUUCCGGGGCUUAGUGCCGCAGCUAACGCAUUAAGCACUCCGCCUGGGGAGUACGACCGCAAGGUUGAAACUCAAAGGAAUUGACGGGGGCCCGCACAAGCGGUG
rnacentral:rRNA from 1 species